rnacentral:tRNA from 1 species
AAGAUGUUAGUAAAGCAUUUACGUUACUUUGUCAAAGUAAAAUCACGAGUUAAACCCACGUACAUCUUC